CAAUAGCGUAUAUUAAAGUUGUUGCAGUUAAAAAGCUCGUAGUUGGAUUUCUGGUAGGAGCGACCGUGCCGAACUUGAUUGUUCGAGUAUUGUGUUGUCUUCAGCCAUCCUCGUGGAGAACUUUUCUAACAUUAACUUGUUGGGAUUGGGACCCGCGUCGUUUACUGUGAAAAAAUUAGAGUGUUUGAAGCAGGCAUUAGCUUGAAUACAUUAGCAUGGAAUAAUAAGAUAGGACUUUGGUACUAUUUUGUUGGUUUGCAUACCAAAUUAAUGAUCAACAGGAACAGUUUGAGGAUAUUCGUAUGAACAUGUCAGAGGUGAAAUUCUUGGAUUUUGAUCAGACGAACUACUGCGAAAGCAUUUAUCAAGGAUGUUUUCAUUAA
rnacentral:rRNA from 1 species